rnacentral:rRNA from 1 species
UACGGAGGGUGCAAGCGUUAUCCGGAUUUACUGGGUGUAAAGGGAGCGUAGACGGCAGUGCAAGUCUGGAGUGAAAGGCGGGGGCCCAACCCCCGGACUGCUUUGGAAACUGUAUAGCUAGAGUGCAGGAGAGGUAAGUGGAAUUCCUAGUGUAGCGGUGAAAUGCGUAGAUAUUAGGAGGAACACCGGUGGCGAAGGCGGCCUGCUGGACUGCAACUGACGUUGAGGCCCGAAAGCGUGGGGAGCAAACAGG